UACCUUAUAACCAGUGAGAAGCUUGCUAGGUUAGAGACUCGGUAGCAACCAAGAAGCUCCAACUGCACAACUCGACGAGUUUCAACACUAUCACGACAUUGCAGGAGAGUUGGCUCGGGGUGAACUGACCUAUGAACGAGUGUCUGCUCAAGGUCCUCCGAGAGUCGAUCUCUCGCUACGGAUUUUUCUGCUCCAAGGGUACCAAUCAUACAUCGAGGUCAUGUUCCGCAUCAUCUACGAGACAGACGGUGUGUCCUCAGACCACUUGAGCGAAGACAAAGCUGGUUUUCGUUUGACAUCCCAGCACCUUGACAUUGAUCGGCCUUUUGAGGUUAAAGAAGUUGUUACCAGCGAAAAAAUGGCUACUUUGAAAGAGAACGGACUUGACACCGCAGGAAAGGUCCUUGUUGAUGCCGUUCCGCAAAGCGUUUCAGACAACUUUCCAAAGUUUAUGCACCAUGUGAACACACGGCAGAUGUUUCAAGUAACGAUCAACCGUGCCAAAGAGUUGGGUGGUCUCUACGCAUGGAGCCUGUACAAAGAUGACCGCAUUGUAAAGCAUGGAAGUCAGGAAAAAAAGAUUCGCUAGCUUGCCUCCCAACUGGCCUCAUCUGAAACCCUCGUGUUCUAUGUCCGUGGGAGCGAGAUAAUGGACAGUCUUGAGUGUCUUGGAAAAUUGCUUGUUGGUUAGGCGAAAUCAUCUCCCUGGCAAGCAUACAUGCCCAAAAACCGCAAAGCAGGAACGCCUAUUUUUAUUCAGGCAGGCAAGAACCAGACAAUUCCAAGAAGAGAAAGGCCAAAGAUCACACCCGGCGCCAACCUGAGCUAUGCGUCGUGGGAAGAAUACACGAUUGCUUUUGGAAUGGCCGCUCAGCAGGAACACGAGAACGAGGUUGUUCGUGACAGUUGCCAUCAACUCAGGGGUUGUGAGUUGCGAUUUGUGACUAUUCCCUAUGCUGGCAAUCGUCGAUACUUCGCCCUGAUGGACACCAGAGAACAGAUCGGUAUGGAGUUGAACGAGGAUGAUCGGGUCAAAAUAAAUAUGCGUGCCGAUAUUGAUGAAUACAUCCCCAUCGAUCCAAACGCGGGUUGGAGUGGGCGUGUCGUGGAACAGCCUCCCUUCGUUCACCGAAGUUCCUAGUUUUUCUGGUGACGCGACCUUGGGAUAAACAAAAUGCAAGAUGGCUUGAUGAAGAUCUGCAAAUACCUGCAAUUGACUUAUCUCAACAGAGGAGUGACAAAAUCCAUGAAAUAAUUGAAAGAGCCAGACAAAAUACGUCAUUGUCUCCUUGGUCUCAUCC
rnacentral:sRNA from 1 species